rnacentral:tRNA from 1 species
GGGCAAGUGGCGAAAUUGGUAGACGCACCAGAUUUAGGUUCUGGCGCUGUAAAGGUGUGUGAGUUCGAGUCUCACCUUGCCCA